GAAUCUUCGUCGGCGAAAAUGCGAGCAUGUCGCUGGAGGUGCCGUGAACGGCCGCAUAAGGUUUCAGCUAUUGGGGAAUGAGCUCCGUUGAUUUUGAUUUCACCUCAAAACUCCUCUGAAUCGAAUGCGAUGAGGAAUCGAGGGGAGUGACGUUCGACCCUGAUCUUCUUGUUCAGAACUUUUAGUUGGCGCUGUCUGUCGGGGCGACGCUUGUCUUCAGAUGUUCGCCGAGGGAGAAGGAUUGGCGCCACUAGCUUUUGCAGGCGGUAAGGCGGUAAGGAGGCGACUAUAGAAUUUUUGGGGAAAUUGCUUGGAGUUUUUUGGUCUUCGGUCGAUUAGGUGAAUAGAGAGACCGGCCGAUAGAUUCAAGAAGCGUGUGAUAGAGGAGGUUCACGGGAAUGGCGGCGUGACUACUAGAAAAA
rnacentral:lncRNA from 1 species